UACGUAGGUGGCAAGCGUUGUCCGGAAUUAUUGGGCGUAAAGCGCGCGCAGGCGGUUCUUUAAGUCUGAUGUGAAAGCCCACGGCUCAACCGUGGAGGGUCAUUGGAAACUGGAGAACUUGAGUACAGAAGAGGAAAGCGGAAUUCCACGUGUAGCGGUGAAAUGCGUAGAGAUGUGGAGGAACACCAGUGGCGAAGGCGGCUUUCUGGACCAACACUGACGCUGAGGAGCGAAAGCCAGGGGAGCAAACGGG
rnacentral:rRNA from 1 species